GCGCCUGUAGCUCAGUUGGAUAGAGCAACGGACUUCUAAUCCGUAGGCCACAGGUUCGAAUCCUGUCAGGCGUA
rfam:Desulfitibacter sp. BRH_c19 BRHa_1003705, whole genome shotgun sequence.